AGAGUUUGAUUCAUGGCUCAGGACGAACGCUGGCGGCGUGCUUAACACAUGCAAGUCGAACGGUGAAAGGGACCUGCUUUUGUGGGUCCUGGAUGAGUGGCGAACGGGUGAGUAACACGUGAGUAACCUGCCCCCUUCUUCUGGAUAACCGCAUGAAAGUGUGGCUAAUACGGGAUAUUCUGUGCCUGCUGCAUGGUGGGUGUGGGAAAGAUGCGCCUUUGGGUGUUUUUGGUGGGGGAUGGGCUCGCGGCCUAUCAGCUUGUUGGUGGGGUGAUGGCCUACCAAGGCGGUGACGGGUAGCCGGCCUGAGAGGGUGGACGGUCACACUGGGACUGAGACACGGCCCAGACUCCUACGGGAGGCAGCAGUGGGGAAUAUUGCACAAUGGGCGCAAGCCUGAUGCAGCGACGCCGCGUGAGGGAUGGAGGCCUUCGGGUUGUAAACCUCUUUCGCCAGUGAAGCAGGCCUGUCCCUUGUGGUUGGGUUGACGGUAGCUGGAUAAGAAGCGCCGGCUAACUACGUGCCAGCAGCCGCGGUAAUACGUAGGGCGCGAGCGUUGUCCGGAAUUAUUGGGCGUAAAGAGCUCGUAGGCGGCUGGUCGCGUCUGUCGUGAAAUCCUCUGGCUUAACUGGGGGCUUGCGGUGGGUACGGGCCGGCUUGAGUGCGGUAGGGGAGACUGGAACUCCUGGUGUAGCGGUGGAAUGCGCAGAUAUCAGGAAGAACACCGGUGGCGAAGGCGGGUCUCUGGGCCGUUACUGACGCUGAGGAGCGAAAGCGUGGGGAGCGAACAGGAUUAGAUACCCUGGUAGUCCACGCCGUAAACGUUGGGCACUAGGUGUGGGGGGCCUUUUCCGGGUCUUCCGCGCCGUAGCUAACGCAUUAAGUGCCCCGCCUGGGGAGUACGGCCGCAAGGCUAAAACUCAAAGGAAUUGACGGGGGCCCGCACAAGCGGCGGAGCAUGCGGAUUAAUUCGAUGCAACGCGAAGAACCUUACCAAGGCUUGACAUGUGCCGGUCGGCUCCGGAGACGGGGUUUCCUCCUUGUGGGGCCGGUUCACAGGUGGUGCAUGGUUGUCGUCAGCUCGUGUCGUGAGAUGUUGGGUUAAGUCCCGCAACGAGCGCAACCCUUGUCCCGUGUUGCCAGCACGUUGUGGUGGGGACUCGCGGGAGACUGCCGGGGUCAACUCGGAGGAAGGUGGGGAUGACGUCAAAUCAUCAUGCCCCUUAUGUCUUGGGCUUCACGCAUGCUACAAUGGCCGGUACAGAGGGCUGCGAUACCGUGAGGUGGAGCGAAUCCCUUAAAGCCGGUCUCAGUUCGGAUCGGUGUCUGCAACUCGACACCGUGAAGUUGGAGUCGCUAGUAAUCGCAGAUCAGCAACGCUGCGGUGAAUACGUUCUCGGGCCUUGUACACACCGCCCGUCA
rnacentral:rRNA from 1 species